rnacentral:rRNA from 1 species
GGGUUGUGAGGUUAAGCGACUAAGCGUACACGGUGGAUGCCCUGGCAGUCAGAGGCGAUGAAGGACGUGCUAAUCUGCGAUAAGCGUCGGUAAGGUGAUAUGAACCGUUAUAACCGGCGAUUUCCGAAUGGGGAAACCCAGUGUGUUUCGACACACUAUCAUUAACUGAAUCCAUAGGUUAAUGAGGCGAACCGGGGGAACUGAAACAUCUAAGUACCCCGAGGAAAAGAAAUCAACCGAGAUUCCCCCAGUAGCGGCGAGCGAACGGGGAGCAGCCCAGAGCCUGAAUCAGUGUGUGUGUUAGUGGAAGCGUCUGGAAAGGCGCGCGAUACAGGGUGACAGCCCCGUACACAAAAAUGCACAUGCUGUGAGCUCGAUGAGUAGGGCGGGACACGUGGUAUCCUGUCUGAAUAUGGGGGGACCAUCCUCCAAGGCUAAAUACUCCUGACUGACCGAUAGUGAACCAGUACCGUGAGGGAAAGGCGAAAAGAACCCCGGCGAGGGGAGUGAAAAAGAACCUGAAACCGUGUACGUACAAGCAGUGGGAGCACGCUUAGGCGUGUGACUGCGUACCUUUUGUAUAAUGGGUCAGCGACUUAUAUUCUGUAGCAAGGUUAACCGAAUAGGGGAGCCGAAGGGAAACCGAGUCUUAACUGGGCGUUAAGUUGCAGGGUAUAGACCCGAAACCCGGUGAUCUAGCCAUGGGCAGGUUGAAGGUUGGGUAACACUAACUGGAGGACCGAACCGACUAAUGUUGAAAAAUUAGCGGAUGACUUGUGGCUGGGGGUGAAAGGCCAAUCAAACCGGGAGAUAGCUGGUUCUCCCCGAAAGCUAUUUAGGUAGCGCCUCGUGAAUUCAUCUCCGGGGGUAGAGCACUGUUUCGGCAAGGGGGUCAUCCCGACUUACCAACCCGAUGCAAACUGCGAAUACCGGAGAAUGUUAUCACGGGAGACACACGGCGGGUGCUAACGUCCGUCGUGAAGAGGGAAACAACCCAGACCGCCAGCUAAGGUCCCAAAGUCAUGGUUAAGUGGGAAACGAUGUGGGAAGGCCCAGACAGCCAGGAUGUUGGCUUAGAAGCAGCCAUCAUUUAAAGAAAGCGUAAUAGCUCACUGGUCGAGUCGGCCUGCGCGGAAGAUGUAACGGGGCUAAACCAUGCACCGAAGCUGCGGCAGCGACGCUUAUGCGUUGUUGGGUAGGGGAGCGUUCUGUAAGCCUGUGAAGGUGUGCUGUGAGGCAUGCUGGAGGUAUCAGAAGUGCGAAUGCUGACAUAAGUAACGAUAAAGCGGGUGAAAAGCCCGCUCGCCGGAAGACCAAGGGUUCCUGUCCAACGUUAAUCGGGGCAGGGUGAGUCGACCCCUAAGGCGAGGCCGAAAGGCGUAGUCGAUGGGAAACAGGUUAAUAUUCCUGUACUUGGUGUUACUGCGAAGGGGGGACGGAGAAGGCUAUGUUGGCCGGGCGACGGUUGUCCCGGUUUAAGCGUGUAGGCUGGUUUUCCAGGCAAAUCCGGAAAAUCAAGGCUGAGGCGUGAUGACGAGGCACUACGGUGCUGAAGCAACAAAUGCCCUGCUUCCAGGAAAAGCCUCUAAGCAUCAGGUAACAUCAAAUCGUACCCCAAACCGACACAGGUGGUCAGGUAGAGAAUACCAAGGCGCUUGAGAGAACUCGGGUGAAGGAACUAGGCAAAAUGGUGCCGUAACUUCGGGAGAAGGCACGCUGAUAUGUAGGUGAAGUCCCUCGCGGAUGGAGCUGAAAUCAGUCGAAGAUACCAGCUGGCAGCAACUGUUUAAUAAAAA